AUAUCAACAUAUCAUAUUUUCUCCCGUGCCUUCUCACACUAUACAUGCUACCACAUUAAAUAUAAGGGCUUUUUGGUCUUUAAUCCCAAUAUUCUUCUCUUGCAUUUUUCUCCCAAGACAUUCAUCUCCAACCUAUCUCUGCAACACUUCUGACGAGCAAUAGGGAGCACUCAUCUGCAACCAUAACUUCUUAGAGAUUAUGGUGUACAUAACUUUUUUUUGGUUUUUUAUUGUAAUGAUAAUACCCGCAAUUACUGUUUGAUUCUAUCAAAAAAAGAAUUCAACAUUUUGUUCUUCUCCGUUGACGUAACUCCUUAUAAGAAAACGGAGGAAGAAGGCAGUGAAGGUUAGAGAUCUCUUCUUAUGACGAUGCACUAUUUAGGACUCUGUAAUUUAUCGAAAUUUUUUGCCAAAAUUCAUUUGUCAAUCAAAAUUUGAUUUGAUUUCUUACUCAUCAACUUUUGACCUCUCUUUUGGUUGUCUAUAUUUUUUGUGUUCUUGGAAUGUUGUGUGGAAUUGUAUCCAGAAGACUGCGAAGGAGAAAGGAGCAGAAAUUUAGGAUUGAGUUUGUUGGAGUAUAGAUCGGGGAGCAAAAUGAAAGAGAAACCGAAAGGGAUGAGAAUGGAGAUGGAAUUAGGGAUUUGGAUUAAAGACCAAAAAGUCCUUAUGUUUAUUGUGAUAAACUCAGGAGAAGGAAAAUCGCUGUUUGGAGUAUUACCAUGGUAUGUUUUGGAAUUCUUGUGGUGGUAGCUGCUGUGUCAACUAAAAGUCUAUCCAGACUUCAGUUUUCUACAUUCUGCGCUUUAUCUUGAGUGGAGUUGCUGGUAUGCUUGUAAUUUGCUUUUUGGCUGUGCUAAGCUCUGUCGAUCAAGCUGACACAAACGAGAGUUUCACGAAAUCAGGAGAGCUGAAACGUGGGUACGCGUUUUAAUAUGGCUGGCUGUGGGAGUUAUCAUAUACAUAUUUUAUGGCCGAACACACAGCUUACUGUUAGAUGAUGUUCGAAGGCCUAUUAAAUGUACUGAUGACGGCCAUCCAGGUUCAACAUUAUCUUAGGUUAAUCUCACGUAUGAAGUCUGUACAGUAAACUUAAAGGGCUAAUCAGAUACAAGGCAUAAACCUAGGAUGUCGAACACAAAAGAGGAACAUGUAUUGGUGAACUAUCAAUAGAAGAUGGAACAAUUGCAGAAGACAUAAUGUUGAUAGCUAUAUAAUGUGAUGUUUUAUUCAUGCAAAUUACCUCUAGUUAACUGAGGCUUCUUAACAGGACUCGCAGAGGAAAAAAAUUGGGGUGAAGUGCACAGACAGCCAAUUUCGGGGUCCCUAUUUAAUCAUGGCUUAAGUUCAUUAAUUUUAGCAAGUCUAGCCCCUUCAGAAAUAAUUUUUGACAUACACGAUUGAAGUUGCAAAGAUCCGCAAAGUUACAAAUUUUAUUUGAAGUUGGGAGUUCACAUACAUGAUUUUAUUUCAAGCACUUGUGCAUGAAGUUUAAGUGUGCAAAUUUUUGCUA